UUUGCUUAAAAUAAAAGGUCCAGCCUGCCCAGUGACACUGUUCAACGGCCGCGGUAUCCUAACCGUGCGAAGGUAGCGUAAUCACUUGUUCUUUAAAUGAGGACUAGUAUGAAAGGCACCACGAGAGUCAUACUGUCUCCUCUUUCCAAUCAGUUAAACUAAUCUCCCCGUGAAGAAGCGAGGAUAACUAUAUAAGACGAGAAGACCCUAUGGAGCUUUAAACGAAUAACACUUGCCCACUUACUCCUUUAAAUUUCAGAAAAAUCUAUUACCUUGGCAUCAUACUUAUAAGUUUUUGAUUGGGGUGAUCACGGAACAAAAAAUAACCUCCGCAAUGAAAGACUCUCCAUAACUAAGUCAAGAACCACAACUCUACGCAUCAACAAAUUGACACCAAUUGACCCAAUUUAUUGAUCAAUGAAC
rnacentral:rRNA from 1 species